rnacentral:sRNA from 1 species
CCCUAGCCCCGAUUGCAACGGCAUCCUUUUGUGUAGUGAAAACGGAACAAAAGAUAUAGUGGAAAGCGGGAAAUAGC